rnacentral:tRNA from 1 species
GCCCCCGUUGUGUAGCGGCCUAGCACGUUGCCCUCUCACGGCAGUAGCGCCGGUUCGAAUCCGGUCGGGGGUA